UACGGAGGGGGCUAGCGUUGUUCGGAAUUACUGGGCGUAAAGGGCGCGUAGGCGGCGUCGUAAGUCAGGCGUGAAAGGCCCGGGCUCAACCCGGGAACUGCGCUUGAUACUGCGGCGCUCGAGUCCGGGAGAGGAUGGCGGAAUUCCCAGUGUAGAGGUGAAAUUCGUAGAUAUUGGGAAGAACACCGGUGGCGAAGGCGGCCAUCUGGACCGGUACUGACGCUAAUGCGCGAAAGCGUGGGGAGCAAACAGG
rnacentral:rRNA from 1 species